rnacentral:rRNA from 1 species
AUCAUGGCUCAGGAUGAACGCUAGCGACAGGCUUAACACAUGCAAGUCGAGGGGCAGCAUGAUUUGUAGCAAUACAGAUUGAUGGCGACCGGCGCACGGGUGAGUAACGCGUAUGCAACUUACCUAUCAGAGGGGGAUAGCCCGGCGAAAGUCGGAUUAAUACCCCAUAAAACAGGGGUCCCGCAUGGGAAUAUUUGUUAAAGAUUCAUCGCUGAUAGAUAGGCAUGCGUUCCAUUAGGCAGUUGGCGGGGUAACGGCCCACCAAACCGACGAUGGAUAGGGGUUCUGAGAGGAAGGUCCCCCACAUUGGUACUGAGACACGGACCAAACUCCUACGGGAGGCAGCAGUGAGGAAUAUUGGUCAAUGGCCGAGAGGCUGAACCAGCCAAGUCGCGUGAAGGAAGAAGGAUCUAUGGUUUGUAAACUUCUUUUAUAGGGGAAUAAAGUGGAGGACGUGUCCUUUUUUGUAUGUACCCUAUGAAUAAGCAUCGGCUAACUCCGUGCCAGCAGCCGCGGUAAUACGGAGGAUGCGAGCGUUAUCCGGAUUUAUCGGGUUUAAAGGGUGCGUAGGUGGUGAUUUAAGUCAGCGGUGAAAGUUUGUGGCUCAACCAUAAAAUUGCCGUUGAAACUGGGUUACUUGAGUGUGUUUGAGGUAGGCGGAAUGCGUGGUGUAGCGGUGAAAUGCAUAGAUAUCACGCAGAACUCCGAUUGCGAAGGCAGCUUACUAAACCAUAACUGACACUGAAGCACGAAAGCGUGGGGAUCAAACAGGAUUAGAUACCCUGGUAGUCCACGCAGUAAACGAUGAUUACUAGGAGUUUGCGAUACAAUGUAAGCUCUCCAUCG